CAGCAACCAUGUCGAAGGGACCUGCAGUUGGUAUUGAUCUUGGCACCACCUACUCUUGUGUGGGUGUUUUCCAGCACGGAAAAGUAGAGAUAAUUGCCAAUGAUCAGGGAAACGGGCUACCAAAGAUGCUGGAACUAUUGCUGGUCUCAAUGUACUUAGAAUUAUUAAUGAGCCAACUGCAGCUGCUAUUGCUUAUGGCUUAGACAAAAAGGUUGGAGCAGAAAGAAAUGUGCUGAUCUUUGACCUGGGAGGUGCAGCUGUCCAGGCAGCCAUCCUGUCUGGAGACAAGUCUGAAAAUGUUCAAGAUUUGCUGCUCUUGGAUGUCACUCUUCUUUCCCUUCGUAUUGAAGCUGCUGAUGGAGUCAUGACCGUCCUCAUCAAGCGCAAUACUACCAUUCCUACCAAGCAGACACAGAACUUCACUACCUAUUCUGACAACCAGCCUGGUGUGCUUAUUCAGGUUUAUGAAGGUGAGUCUCAAUGUCUCUGCUGUGGACAAGAGUACAGGAAAAGAGAACAAGAUUACUAUCACUAAUGACAAGCGCCGUUUGAGCAAGGAAGACAUUGAACGUAUGGCCCAGGAAGCUGAGAAGUACAAAGCUGAAGAUGAGAAGCAGAGGGGCAAAGUGUCAUCCUAGAAUUCACUUGAGUCCUAUGCAUUCAACAUGAAAUCAACUGUUGAAGAUGAGAAACUUCAGGGCAAGAUUAACGAUGAUGACAAACAGAAGAUUCUGGACAAGUGUAAUGAAAUUAUCAACUGGCUCGAUAAGAAUCAAGCUGCUGAGAAGGAAGAAUUUGAACAUCAGCAGAAAGCUGGAGAAAGUCUGCAACCCCAUCAACACCAAGCUGUACCAGAGUGCAGGAGGCAUGCCAGGAGGAAUGC
rnacentral:lncRNA from 1 species